rnacentral:rRNA from 1 species
GACGUAGGGCGCGAGCGUUGUCCGGAUUUAUUGGGCGUAAAGAGCUCGUAGGCGGCUUGUCGCGUCGUCCGUGAAAACUUGGGGCUCAACCCCAAGCUUGCGGUCGAUACGGGCAGGCUCGAGUUCGGUAGGGGAGACUGGAAUUCCUGGUGUAGCGGUGAAAUGCGCAGAUAUCAGGAGGAACACCGGUGGCGAAGGCGGGUCUCUGGGCCGAUACUGACGCUGAGGAGCGAAAAGCGUGGGGGAGCGAACAGG